UUCAUGUCAGUAUUCGCAGGUCUUCAGACACAAAGGGCCAGUGGGACAGACUCAUCGCUCAGGCUUUGCUCGCUACAGAGAUCUCACUGUCUGAUGAAAUGCCAAAACAAACCAGCAGCCAAAACAAUGACCCAUAAUCCUCCAGCUCCCCCUCCAUCACACAGUCCUGCCGCCGCCGCUCAGAGCUGAUAGUGAGGAGAUUGAAAGGGAUGACAGGAAGACUUUAGACAGGAAGAUGGAUAGGAUUUGAGUGUAGCUGGCCAGGAAUAGUGUUGCAUCAGCCUAGUUGGUGUUCACCCGCGGACAGGAAAGCGUGUAGUCAGCUUAGGUUUCUGCCACACUGUCAUUAAUAAUCAGCCAGCCCCGGAGAGGAACACGACCAUUACUGCUGACACAUCUUCAUUUGAAUUCCACUCUGGUUUUCUCAUCUGACCUUAGAGAGACCGAGAAAAGGGUAACAAGAGACAAAGAGGAAAGAUAUACGAGACAAAGGGUGGUAGAGUGGGUACAGAAGUGAAGAAUGGGGUAAAAAAAAGUAAGGCUUUCUCUUAUAUAAACUGUACAUUACUUCAUGUCUGAGAUGUAGACUUUUGCAC